UACGAAGGGGGCUAGCGUUGUUCGGAAUUACUGGGCGUAAAGCGUAUGCAGGCGGAUCGUUAAGUCGGGGGUGAAAUCCCGAGGCUCAACCUCGGAACUGCCUUCGAUACUGGCGAUCUUGAGUCCGGGAGAGGUGAGUGGAACUCCGAGUGUAGAGGUGAAAUUCGUAGAUAUUCGGAAGAACACCGGUGGCGAAGGCGGGUCUCUGGGCCGAUACUGACGCUGAGGAGCGAAAGCGUGGGGAGCGAACAGG
rnacentral:rRNA from 1 species